UUCGGGAUGAACCGGAAGCGGGGAGAAAGGGCCCGAGAUUGCGUCGACGCGGAUCCCGAAAAGGGCGUCGAUCCGUCGCGACAGCGGGACGGUGGUCAUGGAAGUCGAAAUCCGCUAAGAAGCGUGUAAAAACGUACCCGCCCAACGGAUCGGCCCCGAAAAUUGAUGGCGCUCGAACGCAACCCUCGAACCCCGCCGACGGAGGCUAGGGGAGGCCCCGUCGAGUAGGCGGACGCGCGGGUCGCUUCGACGCUCUCGCGCGAGCGGGGGCGGAGCGGCCCGUGGUGCAGAUCUUGGUGGUAGUAGCGAUCACCCAGGCGAGAACCCUGAGGGCCGAAGUGGAGAAGGGUUUCUCGAGAACGGCACUCGCUCGAGAGUUAGUCGAUCCUAAGCUGCCGGCGGCAGCCACGAAACGGUCGAUCGGGCGCGAGCCCGGCAGCCACGACCGGGCAGCGAAAGGGAAUUGGGAACCUCCUUCCCAAACCCGGAACCGGAACGAGGG
rnacentral:rRNA from 1 species